rnacentral:rRNA from 1 species
AGCAGCCGCGGUAAUUCCAGCUCCAAUAGCGUAUAUUAAAGUUGUUGCAGUUAAAAAGCUCGUAGUUGAAUUUCGGGGUUAGCAGGUCGGUCGUGCCAUCGGUAUGAACUGGUCUCGCUGAUCCCUCCCUCUUGACGAACUGUGAUGCCAUUAAUUUGGUGUCGCAGGGAAUCAGGACUGUUACUUUGAAAAAUUAGAGUGUUUAAAGCAGGCUCACGCUUGAAUACAUUAGCAUGGAAUAAUGAAAUAGGACGUUUGAUCCUAUUUUGUUGGUUUCUAGGAUUGACGUAAUGAUUAAUAGGGAUAGUUGGGGGCAUUAGUAUUCAAUUGUCAGAGGUGAAAUUCUUGGAUUUAUUGAAGACUAACUACUGCGAAAGCAUUUGCCAAGGAUGUUUUCAUUAAUCAAGAACGAAAGUUAGGGGAUUCGAAGACGAUCAGAUACCGUCGUAGUCUUAACCAUAAACUAUGCCGACUAGGGAUCGGAUGAUGUUAAUUUUUUAAUGUACUUCA